AUUUUUGAAAUAGUAUGCAAAUCAUAAGCACAGUUUCAAUAAAACACGUAUUCUGGAGGUGCGUGGAACUUUGUAUUAUUUGUAGUUGAGAAAGGCAAACUUUGCUGACAAACCAGUACCUAUCAUAAACGAACACAAAAAGUAGCUGUUACUGUGCAGGCUGUCUUUAACUUUCAUUUCAUAAAGGGGACAUUAUUGUUAAACUCUACUACAUGGUUUGGGGAGAAAUCCAGUGCUUUUAUUUAAAUGAACACUCUCACACUGCCUUUUGAUCAACUUUCAGAGUAUUUUGCAGAUGCAUUUUGAGCAUGACCAUUUUUUUUCCCCAAGUAAAAACAAUUGUGCGUGGCCUCCAUAUAACUCAGAAAGCAUGCUCUUACUACCUAUGCAAGCAAACAAUAAAAUAUAUAGACAUGAAAUGUUAAGUCUUAAAAAAAAAAGGCAACAAUUAUGGAGCUCUAUUUUUAAAUUUGUGAUUUUCAAAAUAUGGCUUACUCAUCAUUGUGUAGAAGAGCAUGAAUGCGAUUUCUUGUUUUGCUCUGCAUAUAUUUCUCUGCUGUUUUUCUGAUCAUUGGCGAGAUUGUAAAGUAUUUUGCAAGCAGAAGUGGAAUUGGAUAUGUUGAACACACAUCAUUGGUGUACAUACUGUAUUUAGCCUGAAGGCUUUCCUAAAGUGUUUUGUUCUAAAAAUAACCUGCCAUUUUCUAUAGAUUUUAAUUUUUUAUAUCUUCAAGGGUUCUAUUUUGGUCACAAGGAAAGAAUGUGGCUUCUAAUAGUGCUAAGAAUUAAAAGAUGCUUUUGUAGAGACUUAGAGCUAUUUUGAAAAGCUUUGGGGCUUCCCAGCCACUGAUCACAAUUAGACUAAGCCCAUGGAAUUUCUGGGAGUGUUGUGCAGUGGAUUCGGUUCUAGAUCCAUCUUACAUUUGUUUAGUGUUUCCCAAUUUUUGGGAGAAGGGGUGCACAGCAGAUUUGAGAGACUUUUUUGAAUCUCACACAUGUAUUUUCCUCAAGAUUCUUUUAAGCCUCUUCUGAAUGACUUGUCUGAGAUAGUGAAGACCCACAUUGACUAGAAUCAGCUGGGGAACUUUAAAAAAUACAGUGCCUGGGUCCCAGUCCCUAGCUUUUGAUCUAAUUCAUGUAGGGGUGGGAUCCAGGAAUUACCAUGUAUUUUAAAAGCUGCUGGGUGUUUCUAAUUUGCAGACAGAUUGAGAACCACUAUGAUACGUCAUCCCUUUACUGAGAAUUAUGGCGAGAAUCACUGCCGUUUGAAUUACUCAGGAGUGACUGAUUCCUCAGUUGUGUAGGAGAGGCAGAAAAAAAUAAGAAUAAAAAGAAUUGAGAGAUACUGAUAUCAAACUCCCAUUUGAAAUACAAGGGCCCUUCUGAUUCAAGGCCCAGUUGGGGAGCUUGGACCAUGUUGUGAAUGGCCUAGCACUCGCCAGUCUGGUGGAAAUUGGUGGUCUUAGUUGCUGGAGCAGGCUGAGUGUCCCCGCGGGGUUUGCAUCUGUCCCCAGAACCUUUUCCCCAGGCCCGUGGGGGAAUAGGGAAGUCACUCUGAGCUAGAAAUUGUCGAAGAAGAAAAGAAACAACCUUUCUAGCCUUGGAAAGCCUGUCCCUGCUUUUGAUAGAAUUAUUGCCUUUUUGUAGGAAUUACAGUAGCAAACCCCAGGCUGCCGCUGAAUUUCCUACUUUUGCUCAUUCUCUAGGAUAGUUCUUAUCCAGAAUGUGGUUUCAGGAAUUCUUUUUUUUAGUUUGAAAAUGAAUGUGAAACAUUUUCUUUGGUGUCUUUAAAAAAAAACAAAAAAACCCUUAUUGCUAUUUUUUCGUGUGUUUUUGUUUUGUUUUGUUUUUUGUUUGUUUUACCAUUAGGUAAUACACAUCCCAGAAUUUGGCACUCUGUGUUAACUGUGGAGGCAAAUAAAAUUUAGUUUUAAUCUGUGGUGAGCUGAAUGCACUACAACACCUUCGAAGUAAUCUGAUGGUUUCAUUCUGUCGAGCCUCAUGCUGCCUACAAAACACCACAAUUUACCUGGUGUUUUCAACAUUUUAAGGAAUAAAGAUACAAGUAAACAUGCAAGUUGGAAAUGUUUCUUUAGAAAGGCCAUCCAGAAUAGUGAUAUCUGUUGCAGUCGUCCAAAUGCAAUAUGAAAUUUCCUAGGUGCUAUUAUAAAUGGUGUGGUGUCAUACCAAAUGCAAAAGCAGUUACAGUAUUUCCGAAGUUGGAGUUCUCUUUGUAGGCCUUUCAAAUACGUGUUUGCAUUCCAUAGAGGUCUGCUCACCAACUGUGCCUCUCACCACUGGUUAAAAUUGAAUUUAAGCCUCAUUGACAUAAGUCGUUUCUUGAUUGAACUCUUCAGUUUUUACACUGGAAUUUCUGUAGUUGUCUUGAAAGCUGCAUGUCACAUCACUGUACACAAAGUGCUUUGGUAUUACUCAUGCACCGUGGAUAGUGAUUUCUGUGUCGUUUUCAUUUUCAGUUGUACAGUAAUAUGGAAGGCAGGAUGUCUUUCCUAGAGGCUGGAAGAAAAGUGUAUCGUACAUUUUAAAUUUAUUUUAGAACAAGUGCAUGAGAUGUGUCACUGAUUUCUGUUAUUUAUUUGUAUGUUUUAUUAUUCAAAGUGUAUGCACUUUUAAGAAGCAGAAUUUAUAUUUUUAUGUUUGAAACAUUUUAUUUCUGAAACAGCGUUGAUUAUGUAGUAUACAGUUGGAAUUAAGAGAAAAGUGGAAAAUGUAACAAAAUACAAUAAAUUUAUUACAAGAUGUCCUCUUCAA
rnacentral:sRNA from 1 species